ACAGCUCAGUUGGAUGAGCAUGAGACUCUUAAUCUCAAGGCUGUGGGUUCCAGCCCCACGUUGGGCA